CGCUCUCGCGUCACCCGCGCC
rnacentral:misc_RNA from 1 species